AUUGAACGCUGGCGGCAGGCCUAACACAUGCAAGUCGAGCGGAUGAAGGGAGCUUGCUCCUGGAUUCAGCGGCGGACGGGUGAGUAAUGCCUAGGAAUCUGCCUGGUAGUGGGGAUAACGUCCGGAAACGGGCGCUAAUACCGCAUACGUCCUGAGGGAGAAAGUGGGGGAUCUUCGGACCUCACGCUAUCAGAUUAGCCUAGGUGGGAUUAGCUAGUUGGUGGGGUAAAGGCCUAUCAAGGCGACGAUCCGUAACGGGUUUUAGAGGAUGAUCAGUCACAGUGAAACAGAGACACGGCCCAGACUCAUACGGGAGGCAGCAGGGGGAAAUAUUGGAAAAGGGGCGAAAGCCUGAACCAGCCAUGCGGGGGGGGUAAAGAAGGUCUUCGAAUUUUAAAGCUUUUUAAGGGGGGGGAAAGGGAAGAAAGUUAAUACCUUGUUGUUUUGACUUUACAAACAGAAAAAGCACCGGCUAACUUCGU
rnacentral:rRNA from 1 species